GGGAAACUUCAGCUAAUACCGAAUACGUCCUAACGGAGAAAGAUUUAUCGUCGAUAGAUUAGCCCGCGUUCGAUUAGCUAGUUGGUGGGGUAACGGCCCACCAAGGCGACGAUCGAUAGCUGUUCUGAGAGGAAGAUCAGCCACACGUGGGACUGAGACACCGGCCCAGACUCCGUACGGGGAGGCAGCAGGUUGGGAAUUCUUGGAACAAUGGGGGAAACCCUGAUCCAGCCAUGCCGCGUGAGUGAUGAAGGCCUUCGGGUUGUAAAACUCUUUCGCGCACGACGAUAAUGACGGUAGUGCGAGAAGAAGCUCCGGCUAACUUCGUG
rnacentral:rRNA from 1 species